UGACACAUAUGUAAGGAGCCA
rnacentral:siRNA from 1 species